AACCAAUCUGAACAAAGAACAAUCCAGGGAGAGAAUUUAUUGAUUUGUGUUUAUACAAAUUGGCCAUAAUUAACCUUGUUGUUGGCACAACUUUAGACUUUUGAAAGUCCCAGCCAUAAAUAAUUCAUGUGCAGCACAGAUACAUCCAGACGUCCCACAUCGUUUGAUAUAAGAUUAACCACCUGGCCGAUUGUCGUAUCACCCAAUGCAGUUCGACUCAAGCGCAGUGCUUUGCGAUAAAUCAGACCUAAAUGGUUGUAGUAGUAUAAUAAAUACAUUUUUCAUAAA